UCCUUCGCAACUCCUAUACUUACCUCCUCGUGGUACUGGCCGGGGUACGAGUAACCUUAGGGAAGAUCUGGUAAUCAACCACGGUGGGAACUUUGGUCGUAUGCUAAUAGGGAAGG
rnacentral:ribozyme from 1 species